CAAUCUGCUCCUCAGCACAGCACGGUGGCUGGCCGGCCCCCCGUAGGAAGGCUUGGGGUUAAAAUCGACUUAGGAUGCCGCCCUUAUAAUAACUGGGAGAUGAAACAGGAAGCUCUAUGACACACUUGAUCGAAUAUGACAGACACCGAAAAUCACGACUCAGCCCCCUCCAGCACCUCUACCUGUUGCCCGCCGAUCACAGCCGGAAUGCAGCUGAAAGAUUCCCUGGGGCCUGGUUCCAACCGCCCACUGUGGACUCUGAGGCCUCUGCAUUUGCGGGUGGUCUGCCUGUGAUAUUUUGGUCAUGGGCUGGUCUGGUCGGUUUCCCAUUUGUCUGGCCAGUCUCUAUGUGUCUUAAUCCCUUGUCCUUCAUUAAAAGCAAAACUAAAGAAAA
rnacentral:lncRNA from 1 species